rnacentral:rRNA from 1 species
UACGUAGGGGGCAAGCGUUGUCCGGAAUCAUUGGGCGUAAAGCGCGUGUAGGCGGCUCGAUAAGUCUGCUGUGAAAGUCCAGGGCUCAACCCUGGGAUGCCGGUGGAUACUGUCGAGCUCGAGUCCGGAAGAGGCGAGUGGAAUUCCUGGUGUAGCGGUGAAAUGCGCAGAUAUCGGGAGGAACACCAGUAGCGAAGGCGGCACUCUGGGCCGGUACUGACGCUGAGGAGCGAAAGCGUGGGGAGCAAACGGGG